rnacentral:rRNA from 1 species
UACAGAGGUCUCGAGCGUUAGGCGGAAUCACUGGGCUUAAAGCGUGUGUAGGUGGAUCGUUAAGUACCUUGUGAAAUCCCACGGCUUAACCGUGGAACUGCUUGGUAUACUGGCGGUCUUGAGCCAGCUAGGGGCUACCGGAACAAAUGGUGGAGCGGUGAAAUGCGUAGAUAUCAGGAGGAACACCGGUGGCGAAGGCGGGACUCUGGGCCGAUACUGACGCUGAGGAGCGAAAGCGUGGGGAGCAAACAGG